GAUGAACGCUGGCGGCGUGCCUAAUACAUGCAAGUAGAACGCUGAAGGAAGGAGCUUGCUCUUUCCGGAUGAGUUGCGAACGGGUGAGUAACGCGUAGGUAACCUGCCUGGUAGCGGGGGAUAACUAUUGGAAACGAUAGCUAAUACCGCAUAACAGUAGAUGUUGCAUGAUAUCUACUUAAAAGGUGCAAUUGCACCACUACCAGAUGGACCUGCGUUGUAUUAGCUAGUUGGUGAGGUAACGGCUCACCAAGGCGACGAUACAUAGCCGACCUGAGAGGGUGAACGGCCAAACUGGGACUGAGACCAGGCCCAGACUCCUACGGGAGGCAGCAGUAGGGAAUCUUCGGCAAUGGACGGAAGUCUGACCGAGCAACGCCGCGGGAGUGAAGAAGGUUUUCGGAUCGUAAAGCUCUGUUGUAAGAGAAGAACGAGUGUGAGAGUGGAAAGUUCACACUGUGACGGUAUCUUACCAGAAAGGGACGGCUAACUACGUG
rnacentral:rRNA from 1 species